rnacentral:snRNA from 2 species
UUCCGGCGAGUUAAUUUUCAAAACGUAUUAAUCCUUUCCGCCUUUUACUAAAAGAUUACCGUGGAAUUGACUCACAAACAUGCCGGCUUCACUCAAUUUGUGUACCCCUCCUUGUGAGGGAA